ACCCAGCCCCCGUCCCCGUCAGCGAUCCCCCGUGCCGGAGAAGGCGGCCUGCGCAUGCGCACCGCCGUGACCACGCCCUCCCUCUCUCACAGGAUGUUUGGGCAAGGGAGGCCACAGACCGCCCGGUUCCGCCCAGAGGCGUCUGUGCGUCUGCGCACUCCCCGGAACGCAAGCGUUUUUCCGGGUGGCUCCUGAGUUGCACAGGGGCAGAUGGGCAGGGCUGCGUGUAAAUCCGCCUACCUUCUUCCGGGCGCUGGCUCCACCCCAGCUCUAACUCCUCCCGCUUCCGGUUUUAAACUUGGAUGUCUGGAUGUUACGUCAGCAGCUUCAUGACAGCUGUUGCGGUGGGCAAAACUUGGUCGUUUGAGAUAUCGAUUUACCUGCAAACAAAGCCAAAUCCUACAAGAAUCCCGGAAGACAACCUUCCACAAAAUGCCUUUCUUGUUGUGUUGGUCUGCCUGGGAUUACAAGGACGACCUGGAGUGGGAUAACUCAUGCUGAACACUGUGAUCUUUUAGUGAAUCCCCGGAGAAAUCUGCAAGGAUUGUCAGCUGCAUGGAAAGCUUUUGGGAGGCUAAAAAUAAUCUGUCUUGCAUUCAACAAUUGCUUAAGAGUUUUCCAUUGUAAAUGGUAGCAAAAAUUGAUGUAUCCCAUCUUCUGAAUCUUUCCCAAGUUUUAAUUAUGUCACAACUUGUAUCCUUUGUCAAUAGAUCUUUCGAAUUGAUUUGUCCAUGUUUUGUCCCGCGCGCUAUAUGUUCUCGCCGGCAAGAAUCACGCAGGACACUCG
rnacentral:lncRNA from 1 species